GAAGUAUUGGUGUUAGUUCUUCUUUAAAGCUGAUGAAUACACAUCACCUGUGUAUCCAUCUGGUCCUGGGCUUUUCUUGUUUGGUAGGCUUCUGAUAGCAUCCUUAUUUUCUUGCUUGAAAUUGAUCUGUUUAAGUUGUGUAUGUCAUCCUGAUUCAAUUUAGGCAAAUUCAAUUUGGGCCUCUAGAAAUUUGUUGAUGCCUUCAAUAUUUUCUAUUUUAUUAGAGUACAAAGUUUCAAAAUAAUUUCUAAUUAUCUUCUGUAUUUCUAUAGUGUCCGUCAUAGUAUUUCCUUUUUCAAUCAUGGAUGUUAGUAAUUUAAAUUUUCUCUUUCCUUCUCUUUGUUAGCAUGGCUAAUGGUUUAUCAAUUUUAUUUAUUUUUUCAAAGUACCAGUUUUGUGUUUAAUCAACUUUUUUCAUUUGUUUCUUUUGUCAAUUUCAUCGAUUUCAACUCUGAUUUUAAUUAUUUCCUGCCUUCUACUGCUUUUUGUGUUGAUUUGUUUUUCUUUUUAUUUGAGAUGUAAUGUUAGGUCAUUUAUUUGUUGACUUUUUCUUCUUUGAAGGAAUGAACUCCAUUGUGGGAGACCAAUCUCAUGUUGGAUGAUGUGGCGGUCAGCCACCCAUGCUGCUAGACUGUCCUGCUCUUCUAGGGUUCGAGUAACUGUGUCUUGCUACAGCCCCAUGGGUGGAGCUAUGCUCACCUGUUCCUAUGUAAUAUAACCCCUUGCCCUGUUAGGAUAGAAUGUUCCAUGGAAGUGCCUUGUGUAUGUCCCCUUCUCUUACUAUGCCCUUGGGUGUGGCCUACCCAGGUGUCAGUCAACCUGCUGACAGUGGACAUCAUGAAGAUAGACUCAGCCCCUGAAACCUGACCCCUUGCCUCAUUUGAAUAGCUUCUCCUCAAUAAAAGGGGUCAGCGCGUGCUCUCGCUCUCUCUCUUCCUGUGGACCUUUAAGGUUAGAGGAGCCAUCACAGCGACUCCAAAGAAAAAGGUAUUUGUGCCUCUUGUGUGGUUAUUUUGCGCAACCCAGUCAGCCCAGUUAUACCUGAAGUGACCCCUGAGCCUUUUAGUUGCGAGAACAGAAACCUGACAAUGAACUUUCCUCUUACAACUGCCUUCAUAGUGUCCCAGCGAUUUCGAUAUAUUGUAUCGGUGUUCUCAUUUACCCCUAAGAAUUUUUUAAUCUCCUCCUUAAUAUCGUUCGUAACCACUUGUUCAUUCAGUAGCAUAUAAUUUAGUCUCCAGGUUUUGGAGUAUCUUUUAUUUUAGAUUGAUUUCUAAUUUCAUUCCAUUGUGGUCUAAUAGAAUGCAGGGUAGUAUCUCUACUUUUUUGUAUUUACUAAGAGUUGCUUUGUGGCAUAAUAUAUGGUCUGUUUUAGAGAAGGAUCUAUGUGCUGCUGGUAAGAAAGUGUAUUCUCUCAUUGAUGGAUAAUAUACUCUAUGUAUGUCAAUUAAGUCUAAGUUAUUGACUAUAUUAUUGAAUUCUUUAGUUUCUUUGUUCAGCUUUUGUUUUGAAGAUCUAUCCAGUGGUGAAAGAGGUGUGUUAAAGUCACCCAGAAUUAUUGUGUAGUGGUCUAUUUGACUCUUGAACUUGAGAAGAGUUUUUUUGAUGAACUUAGAUGCUCCAUUGUCUGGGGCAUAUAUAUUUAUAACUGUUAUAUCUUGUUGAUGGUUGGUUCCCUUGAGCAGUAUAAAAUGUGCAUCUUUAUCCCUUUUGAUUAACUUUGGGUUGAAGGCUACUUUAUUUGAUACGAGGGUGGAAACACUGCUUGCUUACGUAGGCCAUGUGAAUGGUAGUGCUGCGUCCCUCUCCUGACUCAGGCAAAAGCAAGGCCCUGCUGAGGUGGAUGGUGCAAGGUGUCCAUCCUCUGGAGGAGCGCAGCAUGUUUCUGGGAAUGGGAUGGUUUGUUUUUGCACUUCUGUUCAUAAGUAUAAUUGUAACGUCUCAUAGACCAUUAAGCAUAAAGGAAAAAAACAUGAUUUUCCCAAUUGAUGCAAUGAUUCAGCUGUGGAACAUAAGUUGUUAAUGUUUAAUAAAAAAUAAAAAUAAAAAAAAAAAAAACCUGUAGGAAAAACAGUCAAGGAAGUUUUUGAGAAAUUAAAUUAAAAUUUAGAGAAGAAAAAUUAAUAUUAAGAAGACAGAUUAGUGCUUGGUACCGGGUAACUUGUUCUUGUUCCUGUGCACAAUGGUUUGAUGCUCUUACUCUUGUUUUAUUAAAAUUAGUAGCCUCUCUUUUCAAGUUAACCACUUGCCAUAACUUCGGUGCCGGUUCUAGUCAGUAAGUCAAGAAAGAAUAGUCAAGGUAUAGGUCAAUAGUCUGGGACAUUUCUAACUAUUAUUAAAAGCUAACUAAGUGGAAGCAGCUCAAAGCAAAACACGAACUGAAAGUAAAAAUGCUUGCUUAUACAUAAGCCAAGAUACAUUUUUUUUAACUAAUUGUAGAUAUGUAAAAUUUUGUUUCCUUGAAUAAAGUUUCCUGUUUUGUAACCACAAAAUACCGUGAGCCUGCCAAAAUGAAAAGUAUAUAUGUUUAACUUCACAAGUAAAGAAUCAGAUUCAGCACCUUCACUUUUGUGUCUGUGUUGUUUCUCUGCCGCCUUUCGGGGACCCCUCACCAUUCAUUGGUCUCCUGAGACCCCCUGCCGGAGCUGGACUCCAACAGAUAUGUUUUAUCCCAACCUUUCACCUUCAAUCUGUGGGCAUCUCUUCCUAUGAGAUGAGUUUCUUGAAGUCAGCAUAUUGUUGGAUCUUUUUUAAUCCAAUCUACCGGUCUAUGUCUUUUGGGUUUUUAUUUUAUUUUUUACAUGUACUUUCUUUUCUUUUCUUUGCAUUACAAUUCUUAUUACACAUAUAUACCGCAGUUUUUCAUAUCUCUGUGUAUAAAAUAUGUUGAUACCCAAUUCGGUUUUCAUACAUGUACUUUGGAUAAUGAUGUCCAUCACAUUUCACCAUCCCUGCUAGUCCCCUGCCCCCUCCCUUUCCCUCCCACCCCUCUGCCCUAUCUAGAAUUCAUCUAAUCCUCCCAUGCUCCCCCUCCCUACCCCACUAUGAGUCAGCCUCCUUAUAUCAGAGAAACAUUCAGCAUUUUUGGGGGGUGGAUUGGCUAACUUCACUAGCGUUAUCUUCUCCAAUGCCAUCCAUUUACCUGCAAAUGCCAUGAUUUUAUUCUCUUCAGUCUGUCUUUUGAUUGAUGAGUUUAGGCCAUUAACAUUCAGGGUUAUUGUUGAGACAUGAUAUGUAUUACCAGUCAUUUUUGUUUAUUUCUGGUAAUUAGCUUGACUUGGUUUCUCAUUUGAUUGGCUUUUCUUUUACUAUAGUUCUUCCCUUUGCAGAUUUUCAUUGUUGUUUUUCAUUUCCUGUCGUGGCGUAUUUUGCCAAGAAUGUUC
rnacentral:lncRNA from 1 species